rnacentral:rRNA from 1 species
UACGCAGGGGGCUAGCGUUGCUCGGAAUCAUUGGGCGUAAAGGGUGCGUAGGCGGCGCGGUAAGUCGGGUGUGAAAUCUUGGAGCUUAACUCCGAAACUGCAUUCGAUACUGCCGUGCUUGAGGACUGGAGAGGAGACUGGAAUUUACGGUGUAGCGGUGAAAUGCGUAGAUAUCGUAAGGAAGACCAGUGGCGAAGGCGGGUCUCUGGACAGUUCCUGACGCUGAGGCACGAAGGCCAGGGGAGCAAACGGG